rnacentral:rRNA from 1 species
CGGAGGAUCCAAGCGUUAUCCGGAAUCAUUGGGUUUAAAGGGUCCGUAGGCGGUUUAGUAAGUCAGUGGUGAAAGCCCAUCGCUCAACGGUGGAACGGCCAUUGAUACUGCUAAACUUGAAUUAUUGGGAAGUAACUAGAAUAUGUAGUGUAGCGGUGAAAUGCUUAGAGAUUACAUGGAAUACCAAUUGCGAAGGCAGGUUACUACCAAUAUAUUGACGCUGAUGGACGAAAGCGUGGGGAGCGAACAGGAUUAGAUACCCUGGUAGUCCACGCCGUAAACGAUGGAUACUAGCUGUUCGGAGCAAUCUGAGUGGCUAAGCGAAAGUGAUAAGUAUCCCACCUGGGGAGUACGUUCGCAAGAAUG